UUUUUUUAAAUAAAGAAAAAACCUUGAAGGAGUAGAUGUGUUCAAACUUUGGACUGGUACUGUAUGCCCAGUCUCGUGAUGCUAUGUCCUACUACUACAUGGCCACAUGCUUUGUAAACAGACCGUGUUCAUGUCAUCAGUCAGCUGCGUGGGGCCCUGGGUGGGGCUGCUGUCUCAGUGCACCUUGUGGAGGUGAGUUCUAAACUGAGCCAGGCUCUGACGAGGGACCAGAGCCAGGGGUGGGCCAGGAAGGAUGAGCCUGUGUACCGCCAGGGGACCACCACCACAGGCCUCCCCAUCUCCUGGUACCGCAACCUGGAUGACGUCCCCAGAGGCUUCAGCAAUCUACCUUGCUCAUGAGUUCUUUGAUGCCUUACCCAUCCACAAAUUCCAGGUACAUUUACUUUAUCAGCUAUUUGGAUUAGACAUAUAGAUCUUGAUAACAGAUCACAAGUCAUUGAAAAACAUGAAUUGUAAGUGCCAUUUGAUCCGUUGCGUUGUGCAUUGAUUGUGACGUGGGCACAGAGAACAAAGGGCUGGAGGGAGGUGAUGGUGGAUAUUGACUUAGACGAGCCAGGCAAGCUGAGGUUUGUCAUAGUGCCAGCUCCCACUCUUGCCUCUCCUCAGCUCAUACAGGUGA